rnacentral:rRNA from 1 species
AAACCAACAGGGAUUGCCUCAGUAGCGGCGAGUGAAGCGGCAAGAGCUCAGAUUUGAAAUCGUGCUUUGCGGCACGAGUUGUAGAUUGCAGGUUGGAGUCUGUGUGGAAGGCGGUGUCCAAGUCCCUUGGAACAGGGCGCCCAGGAGGGUGAGAGCCCCGUGGGAUGCCGGCGGAAGCAGUGAGGCCCUUCUGACGAGUCGAGUUGUUUGGGAAUGCAGCUCCAAGCGGGUGGUAAAUUCCAUCUAAGGCUAAAUACUGGCGAGAGACCGAUAGCGAACAAGUACUGUGAAGGAAAGAUGAAAAGCACUUUGAAAAGAGAGUGAAACAGCACGUGAAAUUGUUGAAAGGGAGGGUAUUGCGCCCGACAUGGGGAUUGCGCACCGCUGCCUCUCGUGGGCGGCGCUCUGGGGCUUUCCCUGGGCCAGCAUCGGUUCUUGCUGCAGGAGAAGGGGUUCUGGAACGUGGCUCUUCGGAGUGUUAUAGCCAGGG